GGGGAUGGGAUGGCAUUGGUUUCUCUGCCUGACACAGUGGUCCCAUCCUGGCCGGUCUACGGCGGUCCACAGCAGGGAGGGGGGGCCUGUCCGGGAGACUGAGGGCACUGAGCACCGGGCGCCUCAGGAGCUCGGCCUAGAAUGAGACAAACUCCUCAAUGUGGGGAUGGUGGGUUACCUGGCUCCCUGGACCCCUUCUGCCCAAACGCAUCCUGUUUCCCUAGUUCCUGUGGUGACCUCUACCGCAGAGCUGGGUAGAACCUCCGUGGGAACCAACCUUCAACUCUUCCUUACAAAACACAGCAAAAAGCCAAAGGGAAAAGCAAUUCCACCCGUCGCCGGGCCCGGCCCCCGCCUGCUGUCCGGAUUGACAGACCUGCAGGCCAUCAGCUCCGGGUCCCGGGGCUGGACCGGUGACCUAGUGAGAGAAAAAUCCCCAUGUAGGCAUGUGACCUUGCUCCUGCGUGCUGACAGAUGGCCUACAGCAGGCUGGCACGGCCACCAUAGCAAAGUGGACAGGUUCUCCCGAGGCAGUACCAUCACCUGACCCAGCCAGGACUGCUCACUACCCAUCAAUGGCCACCUGUGCUGCUGCUUCCAUCACGCCUGGCUCCACAGAAGGCCAGGACCACUGCAGAGUUGUUCAGAGAGUGGGCAAGGGCCUAGGUGGUAUAUGCAUGACUUCUAACCUGAGCCUGAGGGCAUGCAUGGUCCGUGUGACUGGGACGUCUGACCCUGCUCUCUGACCCUGCCCCAGCCCUUUUGCCCCAAAAGAGACCAAGGCCACUGGACUGAGCCAGACACGGAGACAUGGGAUGCGGGCAUGGGGGAAGUGGAGACAAGGGGCUGGGGGUGGAGGAUGGAUAUGGGAUUCGGGCCUCCCUUCAUCCACACAUCCCACCAUCCUGGGGAAGAAACAAAGCUGAGGAUACUUUACGUUUCUCGUGUUCCCUUCGUGCCCCACUCCCGAUGGCCUCGGUGGGGCCAGAUGGGGCGGCGGGGGCUCCCGGGCCACCUCUCCCUUCUCCGAGCUGGGCACACGCUUGCAGGACUUGCUGGAAUCUCAGCAGCGAGGUCAGCUUGGGCCCCGGAUGGUGGGUGGCAUCGCUCCUUCCUUCCCCGCCUGAGUUAACUAUUAACCCUGGUGUCCCUCAGCCUGGCAGAUGAU
rnacentral:lncRNA from 1 species